AUGAACGCUAGCGGCAGGCUUAACACAUGCAAGUCGAGGGGCAGCGAGGGUAGCAAUACCGUGUCGGCGACCGGCGGAAGGGUGAGUAACGCGUGAGCAACAUACCCGUAUCAGUGGGAUAAUACAGGGAAACUUGUUCUAAUAUCGCAUAAUAUUAUUCAGAGGCAUCUUUGUAUAAUUAAAGUUAUGGCGGAUACGGAAUGGCUCGCGUGACAUUAGCUAGAUGGUAGGGUAAUGGCCUACCAUGGCGAUGAUGUCUAGGGGUUCUGAGAGGGAGGUCCCCCACACUGGAACUGAGACACGGUCCAGACUCCUACGGGAGGCAGCAGUGAGGAAUAUUGGACAAUGGAUGGAAAUCUGAUCCAGCCAUGCCGCGUGCAGGAAGGCGGCCCUAUGGGUUGUAAACUGCUUUUGUACGGGAGCAAUAAGGUCUACGAGUAGAUUGAUGAGAGUACUGUACGAAUAAGCAUCGGCUAACUCCGUG
rnacentral:rRNA from 1 species